rnacentral:misc_RNA from 1 species
UCCUGCCAACUCUACUCUUUUUUGUAGAUACCCAAUGAUAUGAUAUGAGCUCCUUAUAUCAACAUCUUCUAUUUAGAAAUCUUGCUUUUUGUUUUAGAUAAGCAUUAUAAAACCAAAAAAAGAAUGUUGAGUCUUUGUUGGACAGCAUGAACCAUCAAGGGGAAGGGGAAGGGAAUCAGCAGCUCUUCUGAAGUUGAUAGAGAGCAUAUCAACUUCUUUUGUGCAAAAACUUAGCUAGUCCAUUAAAUAAAUAAUAAAAAAAAAGCAUAUCUGUCGCAAGAAUAUUAAAAUAAAUUAACAUCCCGGAACCUUCCAUGAUGACUCCAAUUUCUAUCUUCUUAACCCAUUGAUUUCCGGCAGACUGAGAGAAGAACGAUUAGGACUGCUAGGCCAGCUAGUACACCAACGAUGAUGGCUACUGUUUUUCCCACUUCAUCCUCGUUGGAGGAAUCUGAGGGGAAAUCAUAGUAGCCCGAUGCCCAGUACCGCGCAUAACACUGCCCCAGGAACACAUCGGCAGCUGCAGCUGAUCCGCAUAAAGUCUUUAACAUCCCAACAGCAUCCGCGAGGCAAGAAGAGCAAUCAGCCGAAUUUAUAUCCCCUAAACACUGAGCGUAACCUUCUACUACACCUGAACUACUGACCUUAAAUCCCAUAGCUGUUUGCAAGUCAGCAAGAACAUCAUCUCUUCGCCGAAAGAAUUCAGCAUCGUUGUUUACACUUUUACUGCACUUCUUAUAUCUCAAACUCGUAUCAAGCUUCCCUAAGAAAUCAUUAUGCUCAUAUCUUACAUAGCAGCCUUCUAGUUGCAAAGCAGCCCCAUAAGAGUAUGGACAAACAAGUCCUAUCUGGUUAACUGCGCUUUCCAUGCAUCUUGAACAGUCAAUAGUCUUCAAAUCGCCCCUGCACUGAUAUAAGCCAUAUAUGGUAGCUUCAGCAGGUGUUGAGGUUCCAUUUCCAAUAGCAAAGCUAUUGUAAGAGGCUUGAGAGGAUGAGCUAACAACUGAGGUUAAAAAGGAGUUUAGGUUGCCUUCAAAGGGGGAGUUGGGUUGAUACUUCUCUUGAGAGCAACCUGCAUAGUUGAAGAUAUGAGCUUGAACAAGGUUGCCACGAUUACUAAGAGAAACGAAAAGAAGGAAGAGUGAAGUGAGCCUAAGAAGUGGGAUGGUUUUGUGAGUGGAGUGCAAGUGAAGGCUUCCCAUCAACAUUUCUUUUUCCAUGUUUUUUUUU